rnacentral:rRNA from 1 species
GACGAACGCUGGCGGCGUGCUUAACACAUGCAAGUCGAACGGAAAGGCCCUGCUUUUGUGGGGUGCUCGAGUGGCGAACGGGUGAGUAACACGUGAGUAACCUGCCCUUGACUUUGGGUUAACUUCAGGAAACUGGGGCUAAUACCGGAUAGGAGCUCCUGCUGCGUGGUGGGGGUUGGAAAGUUUCGGCGGUUGGGGAUGGACUCGCGGCUUAUCAGCUUGUUGGUGGGGGAGUGGCUUACCAAGGCUUUGACGGGUAGCCGGACUGAGAGGGUGACCGGCCACAUUGGGACUGAGAUACGGCCCAGACUCCUACGGGAGGCAGCAGUGGGGAAUAUUGCACAAUGGGCGGAAGCCUGAUGCAGCAACGCCGCGUGCGGGAUGACGGCCUUCGGGUUGUAAACCGCUUUCGCCUGUGACGAAGCGUGAGUGACGGUAAUGGGUAAAGAAGCACCGGCUAACUACGUGCCAGCCGCCGCCGUAA